rnacentral:rRNA from 1 species
UCGACUACAUGAAGCUGGAAUCGCUAGUAAUCGCGAAUCAGAAUGUCGCGGUGAAUACGUUCCCGGGUCUUGUACACACCGCCCGUCACACCAUGGGAGUUGGUAACGCCCGAAGUCAGUGACCUAACCGAGAGGGAGGAGCUGCCGAAGGCGGGACUGAUAACUGGGGUGAAGUCGUAACAAGGUACC